rnacentral:lncRNA from 10 species
GGGCGACAGAGCAAGACUCCAUCUCAAUUAAAAAAAAAAAAAUGUCUGUCCUGUCCUGUCCUGUCCUGUCCUGUCCUGUCCUGUCCUAUCCUAUCCUAUCCUAUCCUACCCUAUCCUAUCCUGUUCAACUAUUGUAUUUUGGAAGCAGAUAACUUAUCUUCUAGUUUUACAGGUCUACAGAUAGAGAAGUCCUGUCCAAAGAUUGCAGCAUCAACUCUUGCCUGCUGAUC